rnacentral:misc_RNA from 1 species
AGGGAGGGGGAUGCUAUCCAAAUGGCGGACAAGGGGCUAGGAACCAUGAUGUGAACUCUCCGGCUCAUAACCGGGCGAACUCUCCCAGCUCAAAUGAUUCGUCGAUGGACAUGCAUUCGGAUAGCCCACCUCAUGAAUCUUAAGGGACAGUUGUAUCGACCCGAUCAGUCCUGUUUCUACUGCAAGUUUGGGCCAAGGGGAUGCUGAGAAAGAGUGUUUCUAUGGUUGUAUGAAGAGUU